CAAGUUCUUAAUUUUACUGUCUAUGUGUCUUAGUGAAAAUUUAUUCUCAUUCCCUGUGUUCGUAGAGAGGUAAUCCCCUCUGUCUUUCUAUCAUGUGUGAGUAAGAUUAGCUCAAAGGCCAGAUAAGGUAUUUACAAAGGUCAGCGCUUAUAACUAUCGAUAUCUUGGUAGACAGGUUGGGAAUUAUGGCUUUAUAGAUAACCACAUGGCAGAGACUCGCAGUGGGGUAUGAUCAACAGAUACUUUGCUGUACAUUCAUCUUGAAAUCAUGCAGAAGUUUGAGUUGAAAACACUGAUACCAUCUUGGUCUGUUUUAGGGAUGCAUGAUAUAUGUCAUGCUGAAAAAUAAUCGGCCUAUAAUGGGAAAUUUAUAUUAAUAUGUAUUCUUCCGAUAAUGAAAUUAUAGCCGAUAAUUUCAAGCCAAUAUGCUUUCAGUGCCUUAUUAAGGGCAGCAUCUACACACAGUACAGUAUGUAGUGAUACAGUUUUGAGGUAAGUUUGUGAGCUGCCAAUAAAUACAAAGAGGAAGAAAAAGAUCAAGCGCAGCACGCCGACUACAGAGCAAAACAUGGUGGUCUCUUAUUUGACAUAUCAUCACUUGCUUGAGCCGGAAGUCAUUGUGGUGCGCCAUCUUGAAGAUCAUCCCAAGGCUGUUAUUUCUGCUCUGAGGAGUAACUCCACCUGCCUCAUCUGAAUGGGAUGGCGGAGAAACAGUACAAGAGGACAGACGAAGACAAGGCAAAGUUAAUUUAAUACAGGUCCAAAAAUGAACACCUCUUCACUGAAAAGAGGCAUACAGCCAAGAAGGCCUGAGGGGAGCUCAAAAAUCCACAAAAGGAGACCGACAUGGAGAUGCCACCACAACCACUUGGCCAUGGUUUUCUGUCAUGCAUGAGGCCAUAUGGGAGGCGGCCCCCUGUUGAGCCCUCAGUCCUGAUGGACUCGUGUAGCAAGAAACUAAGACCUCUUGGGGCUGGAGCCACUACUUAGGGCCAGGCGUGUGAGGAGGAGGAUCCUGUACAGCCUGGCAUAAGUAGCAGUACCACCUCAGAUGCAGAUGAUGAGCCAUCCACAUCUGCCUAUCCACCACCUGCCAACAAACAACACAGCUCCAGAGGCACCUCGUUUUCACCGAAUACAUCUCAAUCGUUAUGCUGAUGACUGCGGUGUUUGGAGGUACACUGCAGGUCACGUGGUUCAGCUACGUCGAUGCUGUCUGCCACAAGAACAAGAUACACUGGUUUGCCAGAUAUUUCUCCUAUCUAGUGCUAUUCCACACCGUUAUCUUCCCGGGGCUGUAGCCAUGACGUGGCUAGGCAUGUGAGGAAGAGGAUCCUGCAUAGUUUGGCGGAAGUAGCAUCACAGAGGCGGACGAUGGGGGCGGCAUUGUUGGCGUUCCUGGAGGAUGACGCCAAGAAGGAGGACCAGCAUUUC